CUGUGGAAGCAAAGCUUCUAAAAUCUUUCUCUUCCUUUUUUUUCUAAAAAAAAUAUUCCCACAGCACUUCUAUUUGGCAAAUCGGUGACAAGCAUCCUCGUGGCUUGUUACUGUGGCUUAUUAGUUCAGUAAGUUAAAGCAUCAUACAGAAGAGGCCACAGUCCGGCGUUGGAUCCCCUUGUGGAGAAAGGGCAACAUUGUUACCACUUGCCUGGUCAAAGGUUACACUUCCUGCCCUCCAUCAACCUGGCUGGGACAUG
rnacentral:lncRNA from 1 species